rnacentral:rRNA from 1 species
AUCUGGGCGGUGAAAUUCAGGAUGACUGGCGGGCCUCGCGCACGUCCGGUCGUUUGAUAUUUUCGCUGCCGCGUCAGACGUCGCGACCUGUUCGUCGUCGGUCCCUGCUCGGAGGAAUCGCGAUCGAGUUCGUUGUGGGUGCGUUUCGGCGUGCCACACGGUGAAGACGCGAAUCUCUGGCCGACGAUGGACAGUAAGCAACGGUGUACGGCGUCGUGUCACGCGACGUCGUUACCGGUCGGCGACGAUUUCUUCGGGCCUCUUUCCGACCCGUCUUGAAACACGGACCAAGGAGUCUAACAUGCGCGCGAGUCGCGGGGUAUCGAGCGUACCACGGUGCGCUCGUUACAUCACGAAACCCGUAAUGUUGAAGGCGUAAUGAAAGUAAAUGGGGAAGAUGGUGUUCCGAGUUCACGUUCCGUGAUCCAGUAUUGCGGCCGGACGCCCGCAUUCCCGGGGCGUCUCAAUAGUUCGUCGCGGAUGCGGACGGUUGUCUCUCGAGGCGGCCGUCGGUCUGCGACGGACUGA